AUACAAGAUGGGGGACACCUGGCUUGAGAGCAGUACAUGUGAAAAGGAUCUAGGAGUCUUGGUUGACCACAAACUUGACAUGAGCCAACAGUGUGACGUGGCAGCUAAAAAAGCCAAUGCAAUUCUGGGCUGCAUCAAUAGGAGUAUAGCAUCUAGAUCAAGGGAAGUAAUAGUGCCACUGUAUUCUGCCCUGGUCAGACCUCACCUGGAGUACUGUGUCCAGUUCUGGGCACCACAGUUCAAGAAGGACACUGACAAAUUGGAACGUGUCCAGAGGAGGGCAACCAAAAUGGUCAAAGGCCUGGAAACGAUGCCUUAUGAGGAACGGCUAAGGGAGCUGGGCAUGUUUAGCCUGGAGAAGAGGAGGUUAAGGGGUGAUAUGAUAGCCAUGUUCAAAUAUAUAAAAGGAUGUCACAUAGAGGAGGGAGAAAGGUUGUUUUCUGCUGCUCCAGAGAAGCGGACACGGAGCAAUGGAUCCAAACUACAAGAAAGAAGAUUCCACCUAAACAUUAGGAAGAACUUCCUGACAGUAAGAGCUGUUCGCCAGUGGAAUUUGCUGCCAAGGAGUGUGGUGGAGUCUCCUUCUUUGGAGGUCUUUAAGCAGAGGCUUGACAACCAUAUGUCAGGAGUCCUCUGAUGGUGUUUCCUGCUUGGCAGGGGGUUGGACUCGAUGGCCCUUGUGGUCUCUUCCAGCUCUAUGAUUCUAUGAUUCUAUGAUUCUAUGAUUCUAUGAUGACUGUUCCAGUCGGAAAUUUUGGACAAACAGUGAAUACCUAUAUAGAACCCACUCAGGAAUUAAUUCAGGAAUGUGCUUUGACAGAUCAAGUGGUGAAGAAGAUAAAGGAGGAGGUUGUUCCUGAACCUCAAGUAGCAGAAAUGGAGAGAGCUGCGGCCCUGCAGGAACAUAAGUUGUUGGAUCUGACGAAUGAAUCUGGAGAAAGCCAGAUUUGGAGAGAUGGAGUUCUGUUUGGCUUGGAGAUGGGAAGCUGGAUAGAUCCCCUAUGCAGGGAUGUUUUGACCUUUCGAAUUUGGCUUUGGGCCAGGGGGAGUUGGGAGUUGUGGGGCCCUUAACUUUGGAGGGACUUUGAAACAUGCCUCUAAAUAUCAUAUGGAUUUUAGUGUCGACUAUGGAGAAUGGGCUGACUUGUCGAGAAGGGACAAAGAUAUUGUCAAGUUGGAGUCUCCCCGAGAGAAAGGAAGGAAAUUAAGAAUAAGAUCAGCAGAAGACAAAGUAAAGUACAGGUACAAACAUGAAGAAGACCUGCGGAAGGGACAUGGAAAAGACUUAAGAGCCUCGGAUAGAAGGUCACCAGGUUGAUGGACUAGAUGGAUGGGAUAGAAAGCACUGACAAAACCCGAGACCAGGAAGAAGAGACGAUGGAUGAAGAUUGGAAGAAAGUUUUAAAAAUUUAUUUAGAAAAUUAUCGUAAAAUUAAUGAGUACUAGAAAAAUGUUGGAAUGAAAUUAUUUGGCUUUAGUAGAAAUGUUAAAAAGAAUUAUGUAAGAAUAUGUUAUGCUUAAAAGAAUUAGGUAUAAAUAAGAUUUAAGUUUUAAGCUUUAGGGUUUUUUAUGGUAAGAUAAGGUUAAAAUAGAUUAAGGUAAUUUAAUGACAGAAUAUUGUGAAAGAUGGAAAGGAUUUGCUGAGAUAAUUAAUAACUAGAAUACAAAAAAGGGAGGUGUGAGGAGGUCGAUGAAAUAAGUUAAUGGAAAAUAAGGAUUUGGGAAUAUUGGAUUUGUUUUUAAUUUUUUUGUUUAUUUUUGUUUUUUGAUUUUGAUGUAUUGUGUGUGUUUUUUUCUUUGACUCCGGUUUUUAUUGACUUGUAUUGUUCAAUUGUUAUUUUUGUCUACCUUUUUCUUUUUCUCUUGUUUUCUUUCUUUCUCUGUAAUUUUAAAUUCUCAAUAAAUAUCAUUUUUUUAAAAAAUGAAAAGCAUGGGGGAGAGGACAGAACCCAAAGGCACCCCACAAGUGAGAGCCCAGGGUUCUGAACACUCGUCCCCCACCACCACUUUCUGAACAUGACCCAGGAGGAAGGAGCAGAACCACUGUAUGACAGUGCCCCCAGCUCCCAGCCCCUCAAGAAGGUCCAGAAGGAUGUUAUGGUCGAUGGUAUCAAAGGCCACUGAGAGAUCCAGCAGAACUAGGAAACAGCUCUCACCUUUGUCCCUAGCCCACUGGAGCCCGACCAGUGCGACCAAGGCAGUUUCAGUCCCAUGAUGAGGCCUGAAUCCCGACUGGAAGGGAUCCAAAUGGUCCGCUUCUUCCAGGCGUGCCUGGAGUUGUUCAGCAACCACUCGCUCAGUCACAUUGCCCAAGAAUGGAAGAUUUGAGACUGGGCGAUAGUUAGCCAUCAUGGCCGCAUCUAAAGAUGGGGUUUUUUUUAAGAAGCUGUUUAAUAACCACCUCUUUCAGUGGGACCAGGAAGGCUCCCUCACGGAGGGAAGCAUUCACCACCCCACAAAGCCCAUCGCCUUUUACAUCUGCUCAACAACCAAAGAUAAUUUUUCCCCUUCCCACUCUUAUUUCAAAACUAUUUUUUGUCUUUGUAUCAAAAAGGGACCUGGCCAAUUUGGUUGCCAAUAAAUAUUACUGCAAACAUUUCUGAGAUCAUGGUCUUUCCAACGAGUGGCUCUUGUCCAGAUUUUUUAAUUGUCUUACCUUAAAUGUUGUCAGGAUCCUAUGCCCUUUUAAAAUGGGGGGGGUUUGGGGGGGUUAUUGGGUUGUUGUGCUGUUGAUAAUGUAUUUUGUGGUUUUAUGUUUUGAUUUUAUCUUGUGAGCUUCCCUCAGGCCUCUGGGUAUAAAAAGGUAAAGGUAAAGGUAAAGGUACCCCUGCCCGUACGGGCCAGUCGUGUCUGACUCUGGGGUUGCGCGCCCAUCUCGCUUAAGAGGCCGGGGGCCAGCGCUGUCUGGAGACACUUCCGGGUCAUGUGGCCAGCGUGACAAGCUGCAUCUGGCGAGCCAGCGCAGCACACGGAAACGCCGCUUACCUUCCCGCUAGUAAGCGGUCCCUAUUUAUCUACUUGCACCCGGGGGUGCUUUCGAACUGCUAGGUUGGCAGGCGCUGGGACCGAGCAACGGGAGCGCACCCAGCCGCGGGGAUUCGAACCGCCAACCUGAUGAUCGGCAAGUCCUAGGCGCUGAGCUUUUACCCACAGCGCCACCUGCGUUUAUAAUUUAUAUAGGGAGUAUAUAAAUUCAAUAAAUACUACUAUUACUACUGCUGCUGCUACUAAUAAUAAUAAUAAUUCCCAAUGUAUUUCUGAUCGAUAAAAUAAAUUCAGUGUGGCAUGAGCAAAUUUUUAUUCUGUUCAGCUUGGAAAAGAGGAGACUGGGAGGAGAUGGCAUAGCUCAUUUUCUCCUGCUCUGGACUCAAAGAAAUUGAUUCAAAUUACAAGAAAUGAGAAUCCGACUAAACAUAUGGAAAAACUAUUUGACAUUAAGAGCUAUUCAACCAUGGAAGAGUCUCCCUCAGCAUCCUGUGGACAUGGAGGUUUUUAUUUUUAUGUAUAAUAUUUAUUGGCAUUUUCAUUUCCAAAAAAACCAAAACAAAAUACCAUACAGUUUUUACAUUUCUUAUCAUCACCUAUAUUUUGACUCUCUCUCGUCAUAGAGUUCCCUCCAUUCCUCCAAACGGACUUUCUAACUUCAGUUUGUAAUUCCAUCCGCAUUUUCCCCAUCUACCUUUCUUUUUACUUUCAUAUUCCUUAUAAUUGUAAAUAAGCUUCUACUUUUGACUAGCAAACCUUUAAAGCAGUCCUGUUAGUGUUGUUAAAUGUUUACAAUGUUCUUUCAAAUACAUAAUAAAAUUGCUCCAGUCUUUUUCAAACUGUUGGUCUCGCUGGUCUCGAACCUUCCCUGACAAUUGACUUGGAGGUUUUUAAGCAGAGGUUGGAUGUCCACCUAUCAUGGAUGCUUUGGCGGAGAUUCCUGCAUUGCAGGGCUUGGUGUAGAUGACUCUUGGGGUCCCUCCCAACUCUCCAAUUCUAUCAUUCUAUGAUUCUAAGAAGACUUGUUCCCAGUGCCUAACUGAAUAAUGUGAUCUGUAAUUAAAUACAUGUGAAAACAGUAGUGAUGCCCUUCAGCUGAGGGACCUGAUCCUGUUAUUGAGGAGCAGGGGAAGCAGUGUCAUUUUUCUGGGAAGGAGCAGAUGAAGUUCCUUCCUCCACCAGGAAUAGCUCUUGCUGGGAAGGAGGAGGUGUGCUGUGUUUCUGCUGAAGGACUUGUUAUUGCUGGGAUACAGUAGAAGACGUGUCUUUCCACACAGGGACUUGUUGACUUGAAAAAGGUUAUCCUGCAGGUAAAUCUUGGGAUGGUGUCCAAGACGAAUAAAUUGCCUAUGAUGAGUUAAGAGAAAAGGAGCCUGGAGGGUUCAAAUGAUGACAGUUGCAGGAAAUACCUGUUUGCAGCAUUUCCCACUCAGGCGCGCAAAUGUGUGUUUCAGCAUCUUUUUGGCACGGCAACACUCUAAGUAAAGAGAACCUCCUUGCUUCAUCCAACUUCCUUCUGCCUUAGAGUGCCUUCCCUUUGGCAAAGAUCUCAGGGGAAAGAUCUCAGUCAAAAAAAGAGGAGUGGUUUUCUAUAUUAAAGAAAAAUGGAAUCCAAAAUUGGCAUUUAAAGAUGAGGAAGGAAGACACAUAGCAGUUGAAAUUACAGCACAAGGUGAAAAAUAUUUGUUAUUAGGAAUCUACACACCUAAUGAUGGCAAAGUGGAAUUCUUUAAGAACUUGGAAACAAGUCUUUUGGAAUAUAUGGAUUGCAAAUUAAUACUGAUGGGGGACUUGAAUGGAGUUGCAUCUACUUUGAUGGACAGGACUCAGAGAUCAAAGGUAUCGAACUCUGGCAGACCACCUAAGGCUUUCUUUGACCUAACUGACAAAUUUGAUUUGUCAGACAUAUGGAGAACCAGAAAUCCAAUGGAAAAAGUUUUCACUUUUUUCCCCAGAUACAAACCAAGUAUUUUCAAUAAUAGACUGCAUAUGGAUAUCCAGAGACUUGGUUCCUAAAGUAACAAAAACGGAAAUUUGCCCUAAAACUUGCUUGGAUCAUAAUGCAGUUUUUAUGGACUUAAAAAUGUUUGUACAGGGUUCCUUCAGAUGGAGAAUGAACGAUGACUUGUUGAGAAGUAUGUCAAUUGUUAAUAAGGCCCCCAAAAACCCAAAGGAUUAUUUUGAACUUAAUAUGAUCCAAGGAACGGAAACAAGGGUUAUUUGGGAGGCCAGCAAAGCAGUAAUGAGAGGGUUUCUGAUACAACAAAAUUCAACUAGGAGAAAGUCACAGAAUGAGAGAAAAGAUAAAAAUUAUGGAACAACUAAAAGACAAAGAGAAGAAACUCAGAGGAAUUCCAAAGAAUUUGCAGAUUCAAAAAGAAAUUAAGGUCUUACAGGUUCAGUAUUCACAGUUAGUAAAUCAAGAAAUAGAAUGGAAGUUGAGAAGGAUGAAACAAAGCAAUUUUGAAUCUCCAAAUAAAUGUGGGAAAUUAUUAGCCUGGCAAUUAAAUAAGAGACAAAAGCAAAGUACUAUCACAAAUAUUGUAACAGAAGAAAAAUCUAUAGAGAACCCUGCAGACAUAAUGAAGCACGUGAAAUAGUGGUACCCACUUAGGGUGUAACAAGGAUCACUCAGACACAGCAAUUGGAGAAAAGAAGGUGAGGUUUUAUUGCUGAGCAAUAAGGGACCCAGAUGGAAUCCUUUCCAAAAGUCUGGGACCCUGAGAGAUACAAGUCCUGAGGUUAUAUACCUGAGCAAAUCACAGAUCAUGAGACAGUCACGAACGCCAGCGAAAAAUAGCCAAUUAGCGUGCUUCUUGCAAUGCUCCUGAUCUUACGCAGAGUUUUACUCCUAACUUCUCCUUUCCAUUGUCUGCACAAUGAUGCACAAUGAUGUACAGUCUGACCUUUUCCCUACUUCUGACAGAACAGGGAAAUAAGGCUUAGGGAGGGAAUCUCCUGGUGCUACCUCCCCCUUACGCAUCUGCUCUGUAGGGAUUUUUGUGGUUAGGCCCUUCCUGUUUUGUGGACCAUUUUAGCCUGUAGUUGAGGGGGAUAUUUGUACCAGCGCCUUGUGAUUCAUGGCUUCCCCUUUCCUAUAGGGUACAGGAUGUUACUUGGUGAAAGGUCGGUUCUGGACUUGCGGUUCCAAGCAGUUUGCAGUUAGCUAAGGCAAAAGCUUUUCUUGAUUCAAGUGGAUUAUAAAUUACUGUAAAUAAUUACCUGAUUAUAUGUGAGCAUAUGUGAAUAUAUUGAUUACUGAUAACUGAUUAUAUGAAUAGCAUAAGGGUAGCCCCCUUUCCUUGCUUCAAUAAGAAAAUGUUUUUACAAAUAUUAUAAACAACUGUAUAAAAAGGACAAAGAGGAUUUGGUAAAAAUUGAGCAAUUUAUAAAGACUAAUGGUUUGCAGCAGAUACUGGAAGAUAAAAAGAUCCUACUAACAGGUUCAGUUAUAAGACAAGAAAUGGAACAGGCAAUAAACUCAAUGCAACUUGGCAAGACCUGAUGGUCUAUCAGUGAAAUAUUACAAGACACUGAAAGAUUGGCUUCUUCAACCCCUGGUAGAAGUAUCUAAUUUGAUUUUACGAGGGGGCAAAGCUCCUGAAACCUUAAAGGUGUAGCACCCUGCUUGUGGUUAACGCUUAGCUGGAAUGAAAUAUUCAACGCAGCAAUAGAGAAAUUAAAAUAAUAAUUUAUUUGUCAGACAAAUAAAUGAGAGACACAGUGGUAUAUGGAUACCAAAGCUCUGCCUACUCCAGCCCUGAUGGCCAGCACUUAUAUUUCCUCAGCCCAGCCCCCUUGCUCCUCCUUUGGCUGCCUCUGUCCAAUCAGCCUGGUUGAAAUUCCUAUUGGUUGUUUGCUAGAACCAAUCAUAAAAGAUACACCCAUUUCCUAUUUCCUUUUAUGGGAGACAAAGAGCUAUAUUUCCUUGUAUCCAUAAAUGGCAGGCAAGUAGCCAUAUAUCUUACAUUUACCUCGACCAGGCACCUCAAUUACCAGAUAACCUUUGGCCCCUGUUGCCCUAUUCCCUGCAAACCAGAUGGCUAAAGCAGAUGGUGCAUGGUUUUUAAUUUUUUUAUCAUAAAGAGAUCUUGAGUUCACCUUCUCACCCACCAUAAUAGGAAUCUAACAUAAGAAUCUAACAUUUCUUACUUUCUAAAUCCUUUGCAUAAUUACAUUUAAGCCAAUAUAUUUCAUACAUAACAUAGAUAGAUUUUUAGAAGGAAAGGCCUUUUCAAAUUAAAAGGAAUUUAGUAAAAGCUAAGUUCCUAAGUUCUCUAAAUUCUCUGAAGCUUCAGAACAGCUUGGAGAGAAGCCUUUUUUCUAAUCAGCUGCUGUUCCUAAAAGCAACCUCUUGCAAUUUAACCUUUAACCUUAUGGCUGAGUCUUCUGUUAAACAAUAAAUUUCACUAUUUACCAGCUCUUAAUUGUGUUUUUGCAGCUUGAUUGUAUUCUGUAAUUUGUAUGGUCAGUGUGACCUUUUGCUCCAGCCUCUAAUUUCCUUUUACAACCCUGAAAUACUUUUUACAACCCUGAAAUACUGCUAUUUAUAGCAGUGGGGCCCCUUGAACAGCUGCCAGAGUAUUCAGCUGGUCUUUCCCUGGCAUGAGAGAUAAAAAUAUUUACAAAUAUAUUUUUUAAGCUCAAAGCAGAUCUUGAUUAGAUGCCUCAAAGGAAGCUUAUAUCACUCUGAUUCCUAAACAGGGUCAAGAUAGAUCCAAUGUUAAAACUAUAGACCAAUUUCCCUACUCAAUGUGGGUUAUAAUUUUUUUGCAAAUAUAAUGGCUAACAGGCUAAAGAAGGUUUUAUCUAGGUAUUUCCACAAGGACCAGGCAGGAUUUCUGCCUGGAUGACGUAUGAAAGACAAUAUUAGAAAUGUGGUGGAUAUCCUGGAAAAGCUGGAAGCAAGGAAGAGUUGUAAAGCAAUGUUAAUGUUUAUUGAUGCAGAGAAGGCCUUUGACAAUGUAUCUUGGCGUUUUAUGCUAUAUAAUUUUGAGAGUGUGGGGGUGGGCCAAGAUUUUUUAAAUGGUAUUAAAGCGAUCUAUCAGGAACAAAAGCUAAAAUUAUUGUAAAUAAUGUGGUUUUGGAGGAAAUUAGAAUUGAGAAGGGAACCAGGCAAGGGUGCCCACUUUCCCCUCUGCUGUUUAUUUCAGUUCUAGAGGUCUUGCUAAGUAUGAUUAGAAAGGAUGAACAAAUUAAAGGUAUUACAGUAGGAACCAAACAAUAUAAAUUAAAAGCCUUUGUGGAUGAUCUAGUAUUGACAUUACAAGACCCAGACUCCAGUGCAGUUAAAGCACUGGAGCUGAUACAAGAGUUUGGACAGGUAGCAGGAUUUAAACUAAACAAAACCAAAACCAAAGUAUUAGAGAAAAACCUGGAUAAUGAUGAAAGAAAAUCACUACAAGAAAAGACUGGCCUAGAUAUUGUGAAAAAAGUUAAAUACUUGGGGGUGAAUCUGUCUGGGGAAAAUCUGAAUAAAGACAACUAUGAGAAAUUAUGGAAUGAAAUUAAGAGAUUUGGAGAUAAGGUCAAAUUUAAAAUUGUCACUAAUGGGCCGGAUUUCAGUGAUUAAGAUGAAUGUGCUGCCAAAGAUGCUUUUUUUGUUCCAAGCCCUCCCAGUUAUAGACAAUGUAAAAUGUUUUAAAGAAUGGCAGAAAGCUUUAUCUAGAUUUAUCUGGCAGGGGGGAAACCUAGAAUUAAAUAUAAAUUACUUACGGACUCUAAAGAAAGAGGGGGAUUUCCCCUGCCAGAUUAAAAAAAUUAUUUUGAAGCAGCAGCAUUCUGCUGGAUUAAAGAGUGGAUGCAACUAGAAGAUACAGAUCUAUUAGAUUUGGAGGGUUUUGACAAUGUCUUUGGUUGGCAUGCAUAUCUAUGGUAUGAUAAGGUAAAGGCCCAUAAUGCCUUCAAAAAUUAGGUAAUUAGGAAAUCGUUAUAUAAUGUUUGGAUAAAAUAUAAAGAUCUUUUAGAAAGAAAGACACCCAGAUGGCUUUCACCAAUGGAGGCAAAGGCCCAGAAAAAGUUAAAUAUGGACACCAAAUGGUUGAGAUAUUCUGAUUUAUUGUUAUAAGAUGAAGAAGGAUAUAAAUUAAAACCAUUUGAUCAAAUUAAAGAUAAGUUAAAUUGGUUACAUUAUCACCAAAUUAAUGAAUUGUAUAAAAUGGAUAAGAAAAUGGUUUUGCUUCUGAAAAAUCCAAGUUGGAGACGGAGUUGUUGGAUAAUAAAGGUAAAAAUUUAUCGAAAAUGUAUAAGUUAUUGUUGGAGUGGCAUACAAAAGAUAAACAAGUUAAAUCUGUGAUGAUAGAUUGGGCAAGAGACGUGGGACAUAAUAUAAUGUUUGAGGAUUGGGAAAGACUUUGGAAGAAAGGGGUAAAGUUCACUGCAUGUACAGUAUUAAAGGAAAAUAUAAUGAAAAUGAUGUACAGAUGGUAUUUGACUCCUGUUAAAUUAGCAAAGAUUUAUCACAACUGUGAUAAUCUAUGUUGGAAAUGCAAAGAAAAGGAAGGAACUUUUUAUCACCUGCCCUAAGGUGAAAGACUUCUGGGAAAAGAUUUAUAAUGAAUUGAAAAAAAUGUUGAAAUAUACAUUUAUAAAGAAGCCAGAGGCCUUUCUUCUUGGAAUAACAGGUUUGGAAUUGCCCAAGAAAGAUGUUAAAUUGUUUUUGUAUGCCACAACUGCUGCUCAAAUUUUAUUAGCUAAAAAGUGGAAAACCCAAGAAUUACCAACGGCGGAAAAUUAGCAGAUGAAGAUGAUGGAUUUUUCGGAGCUAGCCGACCUAACCAGAAGACUCUGUGACCAGAAGGAGGAGGAGUAUCAGGAAGAAUGGACAAAAUUUUGUGAUUAUUUAACUAAAUUUGUUAAGUUAAAUUAACUGGAAAUAGCUUGCAGGUAACAGAUUGUCUUAGGAAUCAAUAUAUGUAGUUUUCGCUCUAUAAGACGCACCAGACCAUAAGACGCACCUAGUGUCUGGAGGAGGAAAACAAGAAAAAAAAUAUUCUGAAUCUCAGAAGCCAGAACAGCAAGAGGGAUUGCUGCACAGCGAAAGCAGCAAUCCCUCUUCCUGUGCUGGCUUCUGGAAUAGCUGCGCAGCCUGCAUUCGCUCCAUAAGACGCACACACAUCUCCCCUUACUUUUUAGGAGGGAAAAAGGGAGUCUUAUAGAGCAAAAAAUAUGGUAAGUUAAGUGAUGUUGAAUAUGUUUAUUUUCGAAUUGAAAAGAUAUAAGGAUGUUAACAGACUAAGUCAAGUUUAUAAGAAUUAUGAUUUGGAAAGCCGUUAAAAGGAUAUACAUGGAAAUUCAACCAAGGGGAAGUGAGGAAGUCACUUAACAAUGUUAUUAAGUGUAAUUUUAAUAGGGUUAUGAGCAUGCAAAAAGAAGGGAGAUAGUAGUAAUGGGGGACUUCAAUUACCCGGAUAUUUGUUGGAUGUCAAACUCAGCCAAGAGCAUAAGGUCAAACAGAUUCCUCACUGGCCUUGCAGACAACUUCAUUGUCCAGAAAGUGGGAGAAGCAACAAGAGGAACAGCCAUUUUAGAUCUGGUCCUAACCAAUGUGGAUGACCUGGUUAGUGGGGUAGAAGUGGAAGGAUCAUUAGGCGCGAGUGAUCAUGCUCUUCUGAAGUUUACUAUACAGCGGAAAGGAGCAGCCAAGCAUACUAGGACUCAAUUUCUUGACUUUAAGAAAGCCGACUUCAUAAAACUUAGGGAAGUGCUGGGUGAGAUCCCAUGGACAGUAAUACUAAAAGGAAAGGGAGUUCAUGAUGGCUGGGAGUUUGUUAAGAGGGAGAUACUAAAAGCACAACGUCAGGCAAUACCAAUGAGAUGGAAACAUGGAAGGUGCCUAAAGAAGCCAGGGUGGCUAUCUAAAGAACUUUUAACUGAGUUAAGAUUAAAAAAGGAUGUGUACAAAAAAUGGAAAAGGGGGGAAACAACCAAAGAGGAAUUCAAACAAAUAGCCAGCACGUGUAGACACAAAGUCAGAAAAGCUAAAGCACAGAAUGAACUCAGGCUUGCUAGAGAGGUUAAAAGCAACAAAAAAGGCUUUUAUGGGUAUGUUCGUAGCAAAAGGAAGAACAAAGAAACAGUGGGGUCACUCAGAGGAGAAGAUGGUGAAAUGCAAACAGGGGACACAGAAAGGGCUGAACUCCUCAAUGCCUUCUUUGCCUCAGUCUUCUCCGAUAAAGAAAACAAUGCCCGACCUGAAGAAUUUGGAGCAAAUGAUUCAGCAGAGGAAACACAGCCCAGAAUAACUAAGGAGAUAGUACAAGAAUACUUGGCUAGUUUAGAUGUAUUCAAGUCUCCAGGGCCAGAUGAACUGCAUCCAAGAGUAUUAAAAGAACUGGCAGAUGUGAUCUCAGAACCACUGGCAGUCAUCUUUGAGAAUUCCUGGAGAACAGGCGAAGUCCCGGCAGACUGGAGGAGGGCAAAUGUUGUCCCUAUUUUCAAAAAGGGGAAAAGAGAGGACCCAAAUAAUUACCGCCCAGUCAGUCUGACAUCAAUACCAGGGAAGAUUCUGGAGCAGAUCAUUAAGCAAACAGUCUGUGAGCACCUAGAAAGGAAUACUGUGAUCACCAAUCGUCAGCAUGGAUUUCUGAAAAAUAAGUCAUGUCAGACUAACCUGAUCUCGUUUUUUGACAGAAUUACAAGCCUGGUAGAUGAAGGGAACUCAGUGGAUGUAGCCUACCUUGAUUUCAGCAAGGCAUUUGACAAGGUGCCCCAUGAUAUUCUUGUAAAGAAGCUGGUAAAAUGCGGUCUUGACUAUGCUACCACUCAGUGGAUUUGUAACUGGCUGACUGACCGAACCCAAAGGGUGCUCAUCAAUGGUUCCUCUUCAUCCUGGAGAAGAGUGACUAGUGGGGUGCCACAGGGUUCUGUCUUGGGCCCGGUCUUAUUCAACAUCUUUAUCAACGACUUGGAUGAUGGACUCAAGGGCAUCCUGAUCAAAUUUGCAGAUGACACCAAACUGGGAGGGUGGCUAACACCCCAGAGAACAGGAUCACACUUCAAAACGACCUUGACAGAUUAGAGAACUGGGCCAAAACAAACAAGAUGAAUUUUAACAGGGAGAAAUGUAAAAUAUUGCACUUGGGCAAAAAAAAAUGAGAGGCACAAAUACAAGAUGGGUGACACCUGGCUUGAGAGCAGUACAUGUGAAAAGGAUCUAGGAGUCUUGGUUGACCACAAACUUGACAUGAGCCAACAGUGUGACGCGGCAGCUAAAAAGCCAAUGCAAUUCUGGGCUGCAUCAAUAGGAGUAUAGCAUCUAGAUCAAGGGAAGUAAUAGUGCCACUGUAUUCUGCUCUGGUCAGACCUCACCUGGAGUACUGUGUCCAGUUCUGGGCACCACAGUUCAAGAAGGACACUGACAAACUGGAACGUGUCCAGAGGAGGGCAACCAAAAUGGUCAAAGGCCUGGAAACGAUGCCUUAUGAGGAACGGCUAAGGGAGCUGGGCAUGUUUAGCCUGGAGAAGAGGAGGUUAAGGGGUGAUAUGAUAGCCAUGUUCAACUAUAUAAAAGGAUGUCACAUAGAGGAGGGAGAAAGGUUGUUUUCUGCUGCUCCAGAGAAGCGGACACGGAGCAAUGGAUCCAAACUACAAGAAAGAAGAUUCCACCUAAACAUUAGGAAGAACUUCCUGAGAGUAAGAGCUGUUCGACAGUGGAAUUUGCUGCCAAGGAGUGUGGUGGAGUCUCCUUCUUUGGAGGUCUUUAAGCAGAGGCUUGACAACCAUAUGUCAGGAGUGCUCUGAUGGUGUUUCCUGCUUGGCAGGGGGUUGGACUCGAUGGCCC